rnacentral:rRNA from 1 species
GAUGGACGCUAGCGGCAGGCCUAACACAUGCAAGUCGAGGGGUAACAUAGAAAAGCUUGCUUUUCUGAUGACGACCGGCGCACGGGUGCGUAACGCGUAUACAACCUACCUUUUAGCGGGGAAUAGCCCAGGGAAACUUGGAUUAAUGCCCCAUAGUAUAUAGACUUCUCCUGAAGUUUAUAUUAAACAUUUAUGGCUAUUAGAUGGGUAUGCGUCCUAUUAGUUAGUUGGUAAGGUAACGGCUUACCAAGGCAGCGAUAGGUAGGGGUCCUGAGAGGGAGAUCCCCACACUGGUACUGAGACACGGACCAGACUCCUACGGGAGGCAGCAGUGAGGAAUAUUGGACAAUGGGCGAGAGCCUGAUCCAGCCAUGCCGCGUGCAGGAAGACUGCCCUAUGGGUUGUAAACUGCUUUUACAGAGGAAGAACCACCCCCACGUGUGGGGGUUUGACGGUACUCUGCGAAUAAGGAUCGGCUAACUCCGUG